ensembl:lncRNA
GUGAGUCACUCCUCAGUCCCGCGUUAAAAUGUCCGACUUUACAGCAGAAAUGAACCCGUUUACAGCAGAACAGCAUGUGGGGAGAAGUUCUGUAGAACUUAUCCACUUGGUUACGGGUUGAACGGCGAUUACACGCGAGUCUGCUCAGCUGACAUAAGUUUUGUCAUCAGACUGCGAGUGUCACGUGCAGACGUCAGACUUACAGUGCGCUAAAUACCAUCAUGCUGACACUUAUUACUCUUUACUUCUUUUACUUUUUUAGUUACUUCCUGGAGAAAGUUAAUUGUUACAUGACUGAAAACCUAUAAACCUACAGGCUUCAGUCCCACACACCAACACAAAUCCCUAUCCUAACGAGGACAGACAUGAUCUUUCUCUUCAUAUUUAGCUACGAACGCAAAGCCGAAAAAACAAAAACGAAGAUAAGAACCGACCCGAAGAAGCUUCAAACAGAUCGCCACGGUGAUUCUACUUUAGAAACAUGGACAGGUGUGGCCUCUUUGGUCAACAGGUGGAUGCUGAUACAAGCCGCUGCAGCUUCUAGCUUCAACUCAGCUAACUGAAGAUGGAACUGCCAGGAAAUGAUGAAGAGCUUAGAAAAGGCGACCCCCGAAAAAAGAAGAAGAUCUGACGAACCACGAGGCUCGCUGUGAGGUUAACUGCACCUACAGACCAUCCACCGUACCUGUGAGACGCACCUGCACAGCCUGCUCUUCUGUCUCCAGCAAGCUAACAUGGCGGCCGUGACAUCCACUCACACUCAGACUGAGAGAUAAAAUAAACAGCUGUCAGAGACGGGGGAGGGGGAGGUCGUCAUUUUGCCACGAUGGCACACAAACACUCAGACGUACAUGAAGACAAUAACAGCAGCUGAUAUUUAUGCCUUCACAUGAUGACUGAUGAUGGCUCCAUUUUGUUUUUAACUGAUGCUCCAACUUUUCUCCAAAAAAAAGUAAUAUUUUCAGUUUCCACUCGUUCCUCUUGAAUUUUUUAUGAGCAAAUUGACAAUGCCUAAAAAAUAAAAUUGCUGGUAAACAGCACACUUAAAGUCACUUGUUAUUAUCCUCUGCUUUCUAAACAUCCUGAAUCUAAAUGAAGUGAAAUAUUUAAACAGAGAACACCGUGUUUUUCC